AUGUUAAAUGUGUGUACACAGGGCUGCUUUUCUAUGCCGAAAGAGAAAGAAAGAACCGAUGGAAACAAAAAAAAUAAAAAAAAUAAAUUAUUAAAGACCAAAAAAGAAACAAAAGAAAACCAAAGAGAAAAAGGGAGAACCCUGAAGAAAAGGAGUGCAAAAGUAUGGAAAACAAUGAAAACCCAAAAGAAACAAAGAAAACAGAUGAAAACCAGUAAUGUGCCUGCUGGUGUUUGCCAAAGUCACCACCCCACCAAGACUGGCGCUUUUCGACGACGUGAAUUAAUGUGCCUGAGCCAUUGUACGCCAAUAAUUAAGACAGGCACGAUCACAUGGGAGGAUGAGAGAAAUUUGGCCAUUAUUAACUUCUCAAACUCAAUACCAGUAAAUGAUCUGGUGCCUCGCUACCGUGGAAUAGGCUCGUACUGA
rnacentral:rRNA from 1 species